rnacentral:lncRNA from 1 species
CGUUUAUUGUGAAAUGACUAUGAUGCCCCUAAAAUACACAAAAUACUUAAUUAAAAUAAAACACACAUAAUUAAAUUACAAGAACAUUAAAUACAUAAAAGUAAGGGUUGUUAGUAAGACUUGAAAUGUAAAAUGACGAUUUUCUCCUUUAUAAAUAUACAUUUUUUAACACUCAACAGUAAGACGGGAAAAAGAAGGAAUAAAAUUGGAACCAAUUCUUGUUUGAUUCAUUAUUUUUAUUUAGUUCAAUUAAGUUCUUAUUUAGAAAGACCAAUUCGAUUCAAACUAAUUGGAUAAAACAUUAAACCAAACCAAACUGUAGCGGUGUUCAAAAUUCAAUAUGAUCCACUCAAUACGUCUUAUCGGUAAAAAUUCAAUCUGUGGAUUGGAUUAAUUGAAAAUUUAAAAAUCCGCAGUCGGUGGAUUGGAUAUGGAUUUACUUCUGUAAAUCCAUAAAAAUCCGCGAAUUACGCAAAAAAAUAAUAAAUAAUUUUUAAUAUGCGACAUCACUACUUACUAAUAUACAAAUAAGUUAAAAUGUAGUUACACACUUACAUAAUUACACUUACAUAGUUACAUUAACACUGUAAUAUAUAUUACCAUUAUCUAAUAAUAACAUAAAAUAAAAAAUAAUUAAAUAUACAAAUAUAACUUGUAAAAAAUUUAAAACAAGAUAAAAAUCCUAAGCCAAACAAAGUACUUAUCACAUAACGCCAAGUCACCAAUGAUUGGUUAAAAAAAGAAAACUAAACUUCCCCAUUGCACGCACAGGGUCAUUAGCUUAGUAAAGAACCAACAAUUCUUACCAGUGUUAAACCUCUCCUUCAGCGAUUCUUGCUCUCCUUGCAAGCGGUCACCUUCUUCUAAUCAUCAAGUUCGUCGCACCUGGUAUCGAUGCGUUACCCUCUCGACGCCGAUUUGAAGGACAUCGUGGUAGCCGAUUCCUGCAAGAGAAGUUGUCUUCUUUGCGGAGUCCAUUAAGCCACUUCAUAAUUACUACCUUUCAACUGAACAAUUUCAUGAUCACGACCUUCAAGAUCACCACCCAUACAGGCUCUCCCAGUUCAAAUCAUUGAUGACUUCAUGAUCACCGCCUUCUGGCAGGCGUAACGGCCCUAGAGAAGGAUCACGAUCUCGUGUGGUUCAAAAAACUUUACCAUCUCAACUCUCACUCCUCACAAACUCGUGGCUCUCUUUGAGUUUUUGUGUCUUUGUGCAGAGAUCUCACCACUUAAGGUAAUUAAGCUUAAUUUCUUAGUUUCUUUUCAGAAACAUCUAAUAUGUUGACUCAUAUAAGGGAGAAAUGUGUAAAAUAUCCAGGGCAAGCUCGAGUGGACAAAAUACAAAAAAUUUUGUCUUACCAACCAGUUAAAAAUAGAGGGCCAUGUAACCUAGUGUCAAUGACCUAUAGUGUUGAGGCUUGUAAAGAAGCAAUUGCUAGGUUAAUUAUAAAAGACAAAAUGUCAUUUAGAGUUGUAAAGGGUGAAGAGUUCAGGGAAAUGUUGUGAGUUUCUGAAAAUAAAUUUAAAGUACCAUCUCGUAUUAUUGUUGCUCGUGAUAUUUUGCAACUUCACAAAAAAAAAAAGUUGAUUGAUUUUUUUGUAAGUAGUCAUAUUGUUGCUCGUGAUAUUUUGCAACUUCACAAAAAAAAAAAGUUGAUUGAUUUUUUUGUAAGUAGUCAUCAAAGAGUUAGCCUCACUACAAACAUAUGGAUAUCAACUCAAAAUCGUUGUUAUAUGUCUUAUAACUCACUUUAUUAAUGAUAAUUAGAGAUUCCAAAAGGAAAUAUUGAAUUUUUGUCAAGUUGCUAACCACAAAGGUGAAACAAUUUGUAGAUUUACUGAUGAAGGGUUUAAGGAAAUGUUGAGAGUUUCUAAAAACAAAUUUAAAGUACCAUCUUGCAUUACUGUUGCUUGUGAUAUUCUGCAACUUAAAAAAAACAAAAAAAGUUGAUUGAUUUUUUUUCGUGGUCAUCAAAGAGAUUGCCUCACUACAGACACAUGGAUUUCAACUCAAAAUCUUUAUUAUAUAUCUUACAACUCACUUUAUUGGUGAUAAUUGGAUAUUGCAAAAUGAAAUAUUGAAUCUUUGUCAAGUUACUGACCACAAAGGUGAAACAAUCUGUAGGCAAAUUGAGACCUGUCUAUUAGAUUAGGACAUUGAGAGAGUUUUUAUUUUAAUAGUUAGUAAUGCUUCUUCUAACGAUAGUGCUAUUUCAUAGUAGUCAAACGUUGUAAACAAUUAGAAUGGUGCAAUCCUGGGGGGUCAAAAUAUGCAAUUGAGGUGUAAUGUACAUAUAUUAAAUCUUAUUGUUGCAGAAGGGUUAAUAGAGUAUCAUGAGUCAAUUCCUAAAAUUUGUAAUGUUGUAAAAUUUGUUAAAUCUUCACUUUCUAGGACACAAAAGUUUAAGGCGUAUGCUAAGCGAAAGAAAAUUUCUUCAAAUUACUUAUUGUAUCUAGAUGUUGAAACUAGAUGGAAUUCUAUUUAUUUUCAUGUCAGAGGUUGCAGAAAAGUAUCAAAAAGUAUUUGAUUGAUUAGAGCUUCAUGAUGCAUAAUAAAUUCGUGAGUUUUGUUUGAGCAAACCAAAAAUGUGUCAUUCUUUAUUUGAUUGGGAAUAUACCUAUUACUUCAAUAAAUUUUUUAAAGUUUUCUAUGAUGCCAUUUUGAUAGUUUUAGGUUCUUUAUAUAUGACAUCCAAAUAUUGUUUUUACACCAAUUAUGUUUAGUUCAUACACAAUUGCAAGUUUGGAGAGAUAGUAAGGAUUUAUUUUUGAAAAUAAUGGCUGAGAAUAUGAAAAGGAAGUAUGAUAAGUAUUGGGAAAAUUACUAAUCAAUCAACCCUUAUUUAUUUAUUUCUAUAUUGCUUGAUCCUUGGGAUAAAGAACAUUAUUUGAGAUACUGUUUUGCAGUAUUGUCUGGUGAAUUUAAAGCUAAUGAGUUAGUUGUUAAAGUGCAAAAUAAUUUAAGUACUUUGUAUGAUGAAUAUAAAUUGUUUUAUUGUGAUGACAUGGUAGUAAUAGAAACUGUGAAUGAUGAAAAAAAGUUAGAGAUUAAUAUUGAGAUUGAUGCUAGGCUGUUGUUUGAUAUAGGUUAUAUGAAAAUUUUAAAAGACAAUAUUCUGUAGUGUGCAAAACAGAAGUGGAUCUUUACUUGACAGAAUCAUAUGAGAAUCCAGAAAAUGAAAGUUUUGAAAUAUUAGAUUGGUGGAAGAUUAUUUCUUCUAGAUAUCCAAUUUUGUCUUAUGUUGCUCGAGAUAUUUCGGUCAUGCAUGUCUCCAUUGUGGCAUCUAAGUCAACAUUUAACACUGGUGGUCGAAUUCUUAAUCCACAUUGAUGCUCACUAUCUACAAGAACGGUGGGGGUACUAAUUUCCAUACGAAGUUGGUUAUACUCAACUCUGAUAAACCUUCAUGAAGCAAUAGAUGAGAAUGAACAUGUUGAGACAGUAAAAUGUAACAACUUAACUUUAAUUGUAUUUAUUGAUUAUUAGUUGACUUUAUAUUAUUAUUCUUUUUUUUUUAAAUGACACUUUUCUUUUGGGAGCUAAUAAGAAUAUAUUUGAUAAAGCUUGAUAGCAUUUGAUGGGAUGCCAAGGGUAAAUAUUUAUUAGUUUGUAUUAAAUAAAAGUUUUAUUUGUUAUGUAUUUCAAUUAUGUCUAUUUUGUUCAUGUUAAUGUACGAAAUACAAAUUGGAGUGGACAUUUUUCUUUUUGGUGUGUUAUAUUUGGAAACUUUGAAUGUAUUAUUGUAGAUUUAUUUGAACAAUUAAUUUUGACGUGUUAUAUUUUAAAACUUUGAACGUACUAUUCUAUCUUUAUUUGAACAAUUUAUUUCGCUGUGUUGUAUUUUGAAACUUUGAAUGUAUUAUUCUAGUUUUAUUUAAAUAAUUAAUUUUGAAUUUUAUUGGUAAAAAAAUUAUUUUUAUGUUAGAUUUUUCUAAUUUUAUUAGUUCAUGGAUUGGAAAGAAUUAAUAUUUUUAAUCCACAGACCAAUUUGCAAAAUAAUGGAUUGGAUAUAGAUUGGGUUAAAUUUACAUCUAAUCCGCAGAUGUAUCAAAUGGGUUUGGAUUGAAAUUUGUAAUUCGUAAAAUCAUGAAUCGGAUUUGAAUUGAUGUUCAAUCCACAAAAUCCGAUCCGUAAACAUCCCUAUCAAACUGUGCACACCAACUAAAUAACAUAUAUGUUUUAAAUAAUGAGGCUAUUUAACCAGCUACAUUUUUCACUUCACUCGUUUCUAAAUUAAAAUUUUUAUUGUGAAAAUAUAAUUCUUCACUCUCCCCAUCUCCUUCCUAUAUCAAAAUUUAUCAUGAUAUAUGAAGUGAAUAUUGCAUUUAACAAAUGAAAUUGUUCUAAAAGUAAUAAAUUUAGACUUUUUAUAAUCUAAACAAAAUAAAAGGAUCAACAACCAUCAUGUAAAAAUAAAAAAUAAAAGUUGUUGUGAAAAAUUCUAUAUAUUUUUCUAGUCUUUUGGUUUGUUUGUUUGUGUCCUAGUCUUUUAGAGUGUAUCUCUUUGUUCAAGAUAUUUUUGGGCUAGUGCAGAUUUUUUGGUUUGUUGCUUGAUUCUAAGGGACGUUAUUCACUGUAUUUCCUAUACAAAAGUGAGUCAAAUUAAAGCUUAUCCUUUCUAUUCAGCAUAUUACCUCAUUAAAUUAUUUCUCUGCUUGUUAUUAAUAUGGUACACAUCCACAAUACUAUUUGUUCUAGCUUGUAUUGCUAUAGCAUUUACUAAUAGCAUCUGAGACUUUGUUCAACUAAUCAUACCAUGGUUUAAUGGUCACUAUUUAUGAUCAUUGGAGUAAGCUUAUGGAAAAAAAAUUUAGGUUAAAGGAGUACUGGCAGUGGCGGAACUUGAAAUAGCAGAACUUUCACAAGAAGUUGAGUUAGAUGCAAUAAGAACUAAGCAAUUAGAAGAAUUUCGGUUGAAAGAACAUAAGGUAGAAAAUUACCUCUUCCAGGCUACUGAUCGUUUAAUUCUGGAAAUUGUUCUCUGCAAGAAGACUUCUAAACAUAUUUGAAACUCCAUGAAAAGGAAGUACUAAGCCUCAGCAGGCAAAGAAGGCACAAUUACAAGCCUUUUCUUCAGACUUUGAGACACUUCGGAUGAAAUCGGGUGAAUCAAUUUCUAAUUAUCUUUGAAGAACUAUGGCUAUUACAAAUAAAUAACAUGUCUACGGAGAGCAAAUUGAUGAUUUAGCCAUAGUUGGAAAAGUUCUUAUGGAGUGUUUACUAAACAGCAACGGGAAUCAGA